rnacentral:rRNA from 1 species
AUGGAAAUAGCGAAAUACUAUGCUCAGCUACCUUACGAAUUAUCCGGGCCAAAUGUCAGUUUUGCCCUCGGACCUCCAGCGCCCCCUAUAAGAACACACACACUGACUAGCAGAGUCACCAAUCACCAACAGCAGUCCCCUUCCUUCCUUCUCCUAUUGAUCCUUAAGAAGCAUCGUUCGUUGGUCCCGAAGAAAGAGAUGGAGGUGAAGAAGAGAGCGGCAGCCAUUGCCGCCCUGUGCAUCAUGCUCCUCCUCGUGCUGCCGUCCGGGCAGCGGCAGCAGGUGUCCGCCGUGUCCGACUUCUGCAAGUGCUUCAACGACUGCUACCCUGGGUGCAGGAGCCCCGGCGUGCCGCGCUGGCUCUGCAUCCCGUUCUGCGCCAACAAGUGCAGCCCCAACACCAACCAGGCCGGCAACGGUGUCGGCUCUGCGGCUGCCACAUGCAGGAUGGCCUGCAAGAUACACAUCUGCGACUAUUCAGAGGCGCCAGCCGAUGCAGCUGACGCCGACCUCUGCAUGCAGAACUGCAACAAGAUGAAGAUAUGGAGCCACAAGGCCCAUAAUUAG